GACGAACGCUGGCGGCGUGCUUAACACAUGCAAGUCGAACGGAAAGGCCCUGCUUUUGUGGGGUGCUCGUGUGGGGAAGGGGUGAGUAACACGUGAGUAACCUGCCCUUGACUUUGUGGUAACUUCAGGGAACUGGGGCUAAUACCGGAUAGGAGCUCCUGAUGCAUGGGGGGGGUUGGAAAGUUUCGGCGGUGGGGGAUGGAAUAGAGGCUUAUCAGCUUGUUGGUUGGGUAGUGGCUUACCAAGGUUUUGAAGGGUAGCCGGCCUGGGCAGGUGACCGGCCACAUUGGUACUGAGAUACGGCCCAGACUCCUACCGGAGGCAGCAGGGGGGAAUAUUGCACAAUGGGCGGAAGCCUGAUGCAGCAACGCCGCGUUCGUGAUGACGUCCUACGGGUUGUAAACCGCUUUCUCCUGUGACGAAGCGUGAGUGACGGUACUGGGUAAAGAAGCACCGGCUAACUACGUG
rnacentral:rRNA from 1 species